UGGAAGUAGGUCGGCAUGACUUUUGGUUCCAUAAUGGCGGAAGGUUUCAUUUAUUAAGUCAGUUUAUUUGGAAAAUACAGUUUCACUGAAGUGAAAAUGGUAUCCCGUGGUUUUCCCAGAAUCCAUCCAGUGUUUCUAGAGGGACAACAGUAAUGAAAAUCUGAAAGAUCCGCCAUUUGGGAAAAUAUUAAACCGUACCAUGUAGACCCUUCGACCACCUGGAAGGACACGAUUCCAGCCACGGCUACAGUCAAGUCAUUUGGGAACAAGCUUAUGGGAGGUUCCAGCUCCUGAUUUCCUGUACACCUGGACCUACAGGAGGUACAGUUUUGCACCACCACGGUGCUCAUUUUCCGGUAUGCGGCAGCAACCUUUUCAGAAGUCAGUUGGGUUUGUUUGGGAACAAUCAGUUUUGUGACUAUGAGUAACUAUUGUGGUUUAUAUUGCAGACAUUUGUUUGAUGUAUUAUGUUAAUAAUUAUUUUUUUCAGAUUUA